rnacentral:rRNA from 1 species
UACGAAAGGGGACUAGCGUUGUUCGGAAUUACUGGGCGUAAAGCGCACGUAGGCGGAUUUGUAAGUCAGGGGUGAAAUCCCGGGGGCUCAACCUCGGAACUGCCUUUGAUACUGCAAAUCUCGAGUCCGAUAGAGGUGGGUGGAAUUCCUAGUGUAGAGGUGAAAUUCGUAGAUAUUAGGAAGAACACCGGUGGCGAAGGCGGCCCACUGGAUCGGUACUGACGCUGAGGUGCGAAAGCGUGGGGAGCAAACAGG